CGCGCGCACGCGCCUAAUCCCGCAAGGGAGCCGGGGAACCACUUCUUGGGGUGAAUCGGCCGCCUCUUCUUCGAGAGGCGGCGGUAGGAGACCUUCCUGCUCCGAACCCGUCAGCUAACCCGGUAGGCGAGAAGGAAGGAAAGG
rnacentral:sRNA from 2 species